rnacentral:rRNA from 1 species
UCAGGAUGAACGCUAGCGGCAGGCUUAACACAUGCAAGUCGAGGGGCAGCGUGAUGAAGUAGCAAUACGGAUUUGACGGCGACCGGCGCACGGGUGCGUAACGCGUAUGUAACCUACCUUUAACAGGGGGAUAACACUGAGAAAUUGGUACUAAUACCCCAUAACACCUUAAGAGGCAUCUUUUUGGGUUGAAAGUUCCGGCGGUUAGAGAUGGACAUGCGUUGUAUUAGCUAGAUGGUGAGGUAACGGCUCACCAUGGCGACGAUACAUAGCCGGACUGAGAGGUUGAACGGCCACAUUGGGACUGAGACACGGCCCAGACUCCUACGGGAGGCAGCAGUGAGGAAUAUUGGGCAAUGGGCGCAAGCCUGACCCAGCAAUGCCGCGUGAAGGAAGACGGUUUUCGGAUUGUAAACUUCUUUUAAGAGGGACGAUAAUGACGGUACCUCUUGAAUAAGCCACGGCUAACUACGUG